AACUUUUAACAACGGAUCUCUUGGCUCUCGCAUCGAUGAAGAAUGCAGCGAAAUGCAAUACAUAAUGUGAAUUGCAGAAUUCAGUGAAUCAUCAAAUCUUUGAACGCACCUUGCACCCUUUGGUAUUCCGAAGGGCACACCUGUUUGAGUGUCGUGACAUUCUCAAACCUUCUUGGUUUCUUGACCAAGAAGGCUUUGGACUCUGGAGGUUCUUGCUGGCCUUUCUUUAUUGAAGCCAGCUCCUCUGAAAUGAAUUAGUGGGAUCCACUUUGCCAAUCCUUGACGUGAUAAGAUAUUUCUAUGUCUUGGGUCUUGCACUGUUUCGCUCUGGAUCCUGCUUCUAACCGUCUCAUAGAAGACAAUGGUUGAGUGAUUGCCACUUGACCCACAAACCUUGACCUCAAAUCAGGUGAGACUACCCACUGAACUUAAGCAUAUCAAUAAGCGGAGGCU
rnacentral:misc_RNA from 1 species